GAAUGUACAAUAGAUGAGACUUUACUGGCAAAACAAUUGAAAAAAAAAAAAGGGAGAAGAAGCAGCCCAGCCUUGUCUCUUUAUAGGGUCCUAGAGAACCAGUGGUGACUGGGUUGAAAAGCACAGCGCUUAGCCAUUCAGCAGUUUAUGACCUCGGUUUACUAAGUCCUUGUAACAAGAUUACCGGAGGGGUUUUGCAAGCUUCUAGACCCAGGUGUGGCUGAAGGUCCAUGGGGUGAGAUGGCUGACUGAAAGAAGGAAGUUGUUCUCUGGGGUGUGUGUUACCCAAAGACCAAUGGAGGGAGGAAGAAUAGAUGCUCCAAAUGGCCACUGCACUUCUCCAAUGUCUGAAGCAUUUUCACCAUCUCUGUUUAUCAAUGGUCACAUCCUAGCUCUGGGCGCUCAUCUCUCAAUAAUAUGAUGAGAGGGAUGGAAAAGGAAAAUCUCUCUCAUUUUCCAAC
rnacentral:lncRNA from 1 species